GCAUUGGUGGUUCAGUGGCAGAAUUCUCGCCUUCCAUGCUGCAGAACCGGGUUUGAUUCCUGGCCAGUGUA
rnacentral:tRNA from 1 species